AUGAAAUAUUUUGUUCAGACCACGUCACGAUUAUACUAGCAGAAAUAUGGAAGACGAUACAUGUCUUCAGCGAAGCACAUAUUUACCGUUUUUAAACGAUCCAACAGUGAUAUCGCAAUAUUCGGGCCUAACUUUUUGCUCGGAUGAAUGUGGCAGGCUCAAGGACGCCGGCGUCUCGCCGUCAGCGAGUGCGCAGCGCGGAGCAAUACAGCAUUGUCACCUGAGCCGCUAACUGGAAGCCCGCGAAAUUCUUUCCUCGUAAACGCAUGAGACGCUCCGUGAAGUUUUAAGUGUUUGGAAGUGCAUCUAGUGUUUGGUCUUUGGCCGACUGUACCCCCGCAAAGCAAAGCCAGCCGUGUGGACAGUGAAGAAGCAGAUAUUGCACGCUGAAAACAUCACCUCAUCACAGAUGCAUCGUGCACUGACACUAUCUUGUGGUCUCCAGAGACGAGUACAACCUGCGCUAUGGGAAACCGGUACACAUCUUUGUGGAAACUGGC